AACGAACGCUGGCGGCAUGCCUAACACAUGCAAGUCGAACGAGACCUUCGGGUCUAGUGGCGCACGGGUGCGUAACGCGUGGGAACCUGCCCUUAGGUUCGGAAUAACUCCCCGAAAGGGGUGCUAAUACCGGAUAAUGUCUUCGGACCAAAGAUUUAUCGCCUUUGGAUGGGCCCGCGUUGGAUUUAGCUAGUUGGUAGGGUAAAAGCCUACCAAGGCGACGAUCCAUAGCUGGUCUGAGAGGAUGAUCAGCCACACUGGGACUGAGACACGGCCCAGACUCCUACGGGAGGCAGCAGUGGGGAAUAUUGGACAAUGGGCGAAAGCCUGAUCCAGCAAUGCCGCGUGAGUGAUGAAGGCCUUAGGGUUGUAAAGCUCUUUUACCCGGGAUGAUAAUGACAGUACCGGGAGAAUAAGCUCCGGCUAACUCCGUG
rnacentral:rRNA from 1 species